rnacentral:rRNA from 1 species
CAGUAGCCGCGGUAAAACGGAGGGUGCAAGCGUUAAUCGGAAUUACUGGGCGUAAAGCGCACGCAGGCGGUCUGACAAGUCAGAUGUGAAAUCCCCGGGCUUAACCUGGGAACUGCAUUUGAAACUGUCAGGCUGGAGUCUUGUAGAGGGGGGUGGAAUUCCAGGUGUAGCGGUGAAAUGCGUAGAGAUCUGGAGGAAUACCGGUGGCGAAGGCGGCCCCCUGGACAAAGACUGACGCUUAGGUGCGAAAGCGUGGGGAGCAAACAGGAUUAGAUACCCGGGUAGUCCCUGUCUCUUAUAA